GAUGAACGCUGGCGGCGUGCUUAACACAUGCAAGUCGAACGAUGAAGCCCAGCUUGCUGGGUGGAUUAGUGGCGAACGGGUGAGUAACACGUGAGUAACCUGCCCUUAACUCUGGGAUAAGCCUGGGAAACUGGGUCUAAUACCGGAUAGGAGCGUCCACCGCAUGGUGGGUGUUGGAAAGAUUUAUCGGAUUUGGAUGGACUCGCGGCCUAUCAGCUUGUUGGUGAGGUAAUGGCUCACCAAGGCGACGACGGGUAGCCGGCCUGAGAGGGUGACCGGCCACACUGGGACUGAGACACGGCCCAGACUCCUACGGGAGGCAGCAGUGGGGAAUAUUGCACAAUGGGCGAAAGCCUGAUGCAGCGACGCCGCGUGAGGGAUGACGGCCUUCGGGUUGUAAACCUCUUUCAGUAGGGAAGAAGCGAAAGUGACGGUACCUGCAGAAGAAGCACCGGCUAACUACGUG
rnacentral:rRNA from 1 species